rnacentral:rRNA from 1 species
UACGGGGGGGGCAAGCGUUGUUCGGAAUUACUGGGCGUAAAGGGUUUGUAGGUGGCUUGCUAAGUCAGACGUGAAAUCCCUCAGCUUAACUGGGGAACUGCGUCUGAGACUGGCAAGCUUGAGUGCAGGAGAGGAACGCGGAAUUCCAGGUGUAGCGGUGAAAUGCUUAGAGAUUACAUGGAAUACCAAUUGCGAAGGCAGGUUACUAAUAAUGGAUUGACGCUGAUGGACGAAAGCGUGGGUAGCGAACAGG